GCAUGGCUGAAUACUAUAUUCUUUUCAGUAAUUUACACAGCCAGACACCAUGAAAAAGGAAGAUUUUCCCUUUAACAUGGCGAGGAUGGUGUGCUAAGUUUUUUUUUUUUCAUAGCUUGCCAUUAUUAAAAGGGAAUACAAAU